UCCUCAACAAUUGUGGUGUGUAAUCUCCCC
rnacentral:sRNA from 1 species